rnacentral:rRNA from 1 species
AACGAACGCUGGGGGCAGGCCUAACACAUGCAAGUCGAGCGCCCCGCAAGGGGAGCGGCAGACGGGUGAGUAACGCGUGGGAAUCUACCCAUCCCUACGGAACAACUCAGGGAAACUUGAGCUAAUACCGUAUACGCCCUCCGGGGGAAAGAUUUAUCGGGGAUGGAUGAGCCCGCGUUGGAUUAGCUAGUUGGUGAGGUAAUGGCUCACCAAGGCGACGAUCCAUAGCUGGUCUGAGAGGAUGAUCAGCCACACUGGGACUGAGACACGGCCCAGACUCCUACGGGAGGCAGCAGUGGGGAAUAUUGGACAAUGGGCGAAAGCCUGAUCCAGCCAUGCCGCGUGAGUGAUGACGGCCCUAGGGUUGUAAAGCUCUUUCAACGGUGAAGAUAAUGACGGUAACCGUAGAAGAAGCCCCGGCUAACUCCGUGCCAGCCGCCGCCGUAACAC